rnacentral:rRNA from 1 species
AGUGAACGCUGGCGGCGUGCUUAACACAUGCAAGUCGAACGAGAACGGGAUAUAGCUUGCUAUAUUUGUCAGCUAAGUGGCGCACGGGUGAGUAAUGUAUAGAUAACCUGCCCUCUAGAAAGGAAUAACAGUUGGAAACGACUGCUAAUGCCCUAUAUGCCUUUAAUACAUAAGUAUGCAAGGGAAACGCUUUAGUGCUAGAGGAUGGGUCUGUAUGGUAUCAGCUUGUUGGUGAGGUAAUGGCUCACCAAGGCUAUGACGCCUAACUGGUUUGAGAGGACGAUCAGUCACACUGGACCUGAGACACGGUCCAGACUCCUACGGGAGGCAGCAGUGGGGAAUAUUGCACAAUGGACGAAAGUCUGAUGCAGCAACGCCGCGUGGAGGAUGACACAUUUCGGUGCGUAAACUCCUUUUAUAUAGGAAGAUAAUGACGGUACUAUAUGAAUAAGCACCGGCUAACUCCGUGCCAGCCGCCGCGGUAA